rnacentral:rRNA from 1 species
GACGAACGCUGGCGGCGUGCCUAAUACAUGCAAGUAGAACGCACAGUUUAUACCGUAGCUUGCUACACCAUAGACUGUGAGUUGCGAACGGGUGAGUAACGCGUAGGUAACCUGCCUGGUAGCGGGGGAUAACUAUUGGAAACGAUAGCUAAUACCGCAUAAUAUUAAUUAUUGCAUGAUAAUUAAUUGAAAGGUGCAAUUGCACCACUACCAGAUGGACCUGCGUUGUAUUAGCUAGUAGGUGAGGUAACGGCUCACCUAGGCGACGAUACAUAGCCGACCUGAGAGGGUGAUCGGCCACACUGGGACUGAGAAACGGCCCAGCCUCCUACGGGAGGCAGCAGUAGGGACUCUUCGGCAAUGGCCGAAAGUCUGACCGAGCAACGCCGCGUGAGUGAAGAAGGUUUUCGGAUCGUAAAGCUCUGUUGUAAGAGAAGAACGGGUGUGAGAGUGGAAAGUUCACCCUGUGACGGUAUCUUAACAAAAAGGGACGGCUAACUACGUG